CUGUUUUGUCCAAUUAUAUGGUAUGCAUUUCUCCACAUGACGUCUUCAAUAGAAAGAUUUAUUUGUGUCAAUAUAAUAUUUCAUUGUGAUUGAUUUAACUAUUUCCCUCAUACUGGAUAUUUAGGUUAUUUCUAAUUUUUUCACUACAUGAAUAAUAUAAUACCCAUGAAUUCAAAUCUUUACUUGCCUCAUUAUUUCCUUGGAGUAAAUUCCUGAGAAAUGAAUUACUAAAUCUAGAGCAUGAACACUGUAAAACUUUUGGAAUUUUUUUUCUAAAUAUAUUUUUCCUGCCUUUCUCACGCCCUCAUCAACACUUCAAUUUUGUACAAGGUUUUUAAACUGUUAGAAAAACAAUAGUAUCUUAUUGUUUUAUUUUGUAUUUUAUUACACAUAAAGUUGAUUAUUUUCUCAGAUACUUAUUACCUCUUUGUAUUUUCUCUUUUGUAAUGCUUAGUCAUAUCUUUAGCCUAUUUUUCUAUCACUAUAUUGGCUUUUUGUGUAUUUGUAAGGGCUCUUUAUAUAAUAAGACUAUUUGUCUUAUGUUGUAAAUUUUUUCUUUAUAAUCCUUUAAACUUUUUAACUCAUUGAAGAUUGACGUCUUCAGAUAGGUAAGUUUAUCUGUUUUUCUCUGGGUGGUUCUUUCCUUGUGUAUAUUUACAAGGUCCCUUUUUCAUCCAAGUUAAGAUAGAUAUUUACUAUUUUAGGGGAGGAAGAUUAUGACAAGAGAUGUGAGAAAAUAAUAUGAAAGGAGCCUCUCAAUGUGUUGACGACCUUUUCUAACUAAAUGAACCCUCGCCGUGCUUCAUAAUCACUGGAAUUGGGCAGCAUUUAGAAGGUUAAUUUUAAAACAAAUACACAAUUCCAUGGCAUGUGCCUACCUCAGGCACAGUACGUUUGGCUCCAAGCCCCUGUAGUUUAUACCUAGUGACUCCAGGUCCAAGGUUUCUCCACGAUUUCCAAGAAAGAACACUUCUCCCUCCUCGCAGUUGUAAUUU
rnacentral:lncRNA from 1 species